AUUGAACGCUGGCGGCAUGCCUUACACAUGCAAGUCGAACGGUAACAGGUCUUCGGAUGCUGACGAGUGGCGAACGGGUGAGUAAUACAUCGGAACGUGCCUGAUCGUGGGGGAUAACGAAGCGAAAGCUUUGCUAAUACCGCAUAAGAUCUAAGGAUGAAAGCAGGGGACCGCAAGGCCUUGCGCGAACGGAGUGGCCGAUGGCAGAUUAGGUAGUUGGUGGGAGACAAGCUUACCAAGCCGACGAUCUGUAGCUGGUCUGAGAGGACGACCAGCCACACUGGGACUGAGACACGGCCCAGACUCCUACGGGAGGCAGCAGUGGGGAAUUUUGGACAAUGGGCGAAAGCCUGAUCCAGCCAUGCCGCGUGCAGGAUGAAGGCCUUCGGGUUGUAAACUGCUUUUGUACGGAACGAAAAGACCCUUUCUAAUAAAGAGGGUCCAUGACGGUACCGUAAGAAUAAGCACCGGCUAACUACGUGCCAGCAGCCGCGGUAA
rnacentral:rRNA from 1 species